rnacentral:rRNA from 1 species
AGUUUAAAGAAAUUAUUUUAAAUGAAUCCUGCCCAGUGUUAAUUUAUAAAUGGCCGCAGUACCCUGACUGUGCGAAGGUAGCAUAAUCAAUUGGCUUUUAAUUAAAGUCUGGAAUGAAUGGAGAUUUGGAAAAAAGCUGUCUCAAAAAUAUUUAAUCGAAUUUAAUUAUUAGGUGAAAAUACCUAUUUUAAGAAAAAAGACGAGAAGACCCUUAGAAUUUUUAUAAUAUUAUUUAUUUAAUUUAUUUUUGUUGGGGCGACAAUUAAACAUUUAACUUUAAUUUUUAAUAUAUAACGAAAUUGUUAUAAAAGAAUAAAUUACCUUAGGGAUAACAGCAUAAUUUAUUUAUAAGUUUGUGACCUCGAUGUUGGACUAGGAACUUGAUGGCAAGCAGUCAAAAUAGAUUUGUUCUGUUCGAACAAUAUUAUCCU